AGCGAACGCUGGCGGCAGGCCUAACACAUGCAAGUCGAGCGCCGUAGCAAUACGGAGCGGCAGACGGGAGAGUCACACGUGGGAACGUACCCUUUGGAUCGGAACAACCAAGGGAAACUUGGGCUGAUACCGGAUAAGCCCUUACGGGGUAAGAUUCAUCGCCGAAGGAUUGGACCGCGUCUGAUUAGCUAGUUGGUGGGGUAAUGGCCCACCAAGGCGACGAUCAGGAGCUGGUCUGGGAGGUUGAUCAGCCUCAGUGGGACUGAGAUCACGGCCCAGACUCCUACGGGAGGCAGCAGUGGGGAAUAUUGGACAAUGGGCGCAAGCCUGAUCCAGCCAUGCCGCGUGGGGGAUGAAGGCCCUAGGGUUGUAAAGCCCUUUCGGCGGGGAAGAUAAUGACGGUACCCGCAGAAGAAGCCCCGGCUAACUUCGUGCCAGCAGCCGCAGUAA
rnacentral:rRNA from 1 species